AUGUAUUUAAGGAAAACGUCACAAGCAUAUGAUUUUUCCACAAAAGGAUCAAAAUAAGGAGGUUUAAUCGAAAGGAAUCAGUAAAGAAUCAUUAGCCUUAUUAAAGGGAUUUCAAAAUCAAUCACUUGGUUGGUGAAACCUUUGGAAUGAAGAGUUUUUCUCAUAUAAAAAGCAUACAGCUCAAACAAAAGAAAGAGUCUAACAAUGAAAGUUUCAGAGUCACAAGAAAAAAAGGAUUUAAAAUUUCAAUUACAGACUCAUAGCGAGUCUAAAAAUCUAGGAUCCCAAAGUAGAACCUUAAUGUCAUUUAUCAAAGAAACCCCAAAAGAUAGGGUCACUGAUAGAGGCUCAGAGAUCUUUUCGAAACUUCUGAGAGGCAAACAUAUGUGAAAGCAGACACAUUGAUUUAAAGGCGUGCUUGAGGAAAAACUUAGAAUUCAAAAAAAUUUCAGAAGUUUUAAAUAAAGUAGGUAUGGAAAAUACUUAGUAGGAACAUCAACAAAACUCAUUAAGGCGAAAAAAAAUCAAAGAGCACAAACAUAAACACAUAUAGCAAAGAGUAUGGAACAACAACCUAAGUUAACAUGUUAACAAAGAAAUGACAAAUUCUUGCACAAUAAGAAAGGAACAAAAGAGCCAACAGUAAGUGGAAGAACAUGGAAGUAAAAAUACACAUAAAGAGAGAGCAAAAGAGUUAGAAAACAUUAAAAGAAACUUUUUCCUGAAACCCUAAAAAUCGAACUUGAACAAAGAAAAGCCUUAAAACAUCAAGUAAAGACCAAGCAUAGUACAGAUCUAAAAAAAAUAAGAAAUUAUAGAACCUUAGAAGGCUUAAAAUGGCAAAGAAGACCCUAGAAUGAGAAGGUUUUAGGAAAAUCGGAUCCUGAGUCGAAGAGACUCAUUUGCUUUAAACACGCCGGAGAAUGGCCGGAGAAUGCCGGAAAGGCCAUAGCCCUUGCAGAUCUAAGGCAGAUCUAAAGGAAACCAUGGAAGUUGGACUCCGAGAUUUGGUUAAUUUAGGUUCAACAGCGAGGAGAGUGGGUUAUAGGCCAUCCAUGGCUGGGGCUGCCAUAGAUUCCGGUGGAAAUGAGACAGAAGUAAGGGGAAAAGGACUAGGGUUUUGGAGAGGGCUAGAG
rnacentral:lncRNA from 1 species